UACCAGUGCGGCGUGCUAUACAUGCAGUCGAGCGAACUGAUUAGAAGCUUGCUUCUAUGACGUUAGCGGCGGACGGGUGAGUAACACGUGGGCAACCUGCCUGUAAGACUGGGAUAACUCCGGGAAACCGGAGCUAAUACCGGAUAACAUUUUUUCUUGCAUAAGAGAAAAUUGAAAGAUGGUUUCGGCUAUCACUUACAGAUGGGCCCGCGGUGCAUUAGCUAGUUGGUGAGGUAACGGCUCACCAAGGCAACGAUGCAUAGCCGACCUGAGAGGGUGAUCGGCCACACUGGGACUGAGACACGGCCCAGACUCCUACGGGAGGCAGCAGUAGGGAAUCUUCCGCAAUGGACGAAAGUCUGACGGAGCAACGCCGCGUGAGUGAUGAAGGCUUUCGGGUCGUAAAACUCUGUUGUUAGGGAAGAACAAGUACAAGAGUAACUGCUUGUACCUUGACGGUACCUAACCAGAAAGCCACGGCUAACUACGUGCCAGCAGCCGCGGUAAU
rnacentral:rRNA from 1 species